ACAGUUUCACGAGGGCACAGGAGAGUUGCUUCUUGCAAACUAAUGACUCAGGAUGAGCGCACGUGACUUGCUGAUCCUUUGAUGUCCUUCAGGAACCAAGUAAAUCAAAUAAACCAGUCUUCUGGAUAGGUAGGAACACCAGUCAGGAAGCUGGAGAAUGCCAGGCACCUGGUGGAUUCGGAGAGAGCAGUUCAUUUAUAUUUCGUAUAGUUGUUGACAUGAUCGCUUUGAGAUAUAUGUGCAAUAUCCAGGUAGAGUCUCAGAAACAGUGGUUCAAGAUCCAAGCACCAGGUAGAGUCCUCUCUGAGUGUGUCUGCAGCAAGGCAGCCAUGGCUAUUUGGAAGGGGGAGGAAGUAACAGUAGGGAGACGCCUAUUCACACCCAUCUGUCUUGGUCUUUCCAGGUUUCGCUUUGCUGUGAGUCUUGCCUCUUCGGAACCCACCUUAGCAUCUCAUGGAUAGCAGUGUGAGGUCCAUGACUCCUCCUCCCCGCAGCUGUCCUCCCUGUGAAUAAAAUAAAAUAAACAAAUUGAGCAGCUGCCAUUAGCAUGGCGGUAGUCCUGUUUUCCACUUGCAAGAAGGAUCCCGUUUAAUUCUCACAGGAGGCAGGCGUUAUCAGAUAUUUGUAGACAAGAUACAAAAACCCAAAGACAUCCAACAGUGCUAGAGACACACAGCUAAGGACAGCUGAAUGGCACAGCCUCCUUCUGAAAUCCAAACACUCUUUCUUCCCAAAGUUGACACUUUUGUCUUCUAACGUCCAUUCUAUUGCUUCUGUAAAGCACUGUGAUUUUACAGACUCUUUAAUUUUGUUUGUGUUUUAUUUUUCAAGACAGGGUUUCUCUGUGCAGCCCUGGCUGUCCGGGAACCACACUCUGUAGAGCUGGCUAACCUUGAAUUCAGAGACCCGUCUGUCUCUGCUUCCAAAGUGCUGAAAUUAAAGAUAUGAGUCGCCCACCCAUCCUGGAUGUUUGUUUGCUUUGGAGACUGGAUCUCACGAAGUAUCCUUAGCCAGCCUCAAACCAUUCACAGUGAUGAAGACCAGGCUGGCCUCCAAUGAACAGAGCUAGGCUAGAUUCAGUCUUCAGAGUGUUGAUACAGUGAAGAGACUCUAAUGCCACAGAGAGGUAAACACGUGCUAUCCAUACAGAUGCCAACAUCUGCCAAAGCUUGUCCAUGUCCCUGCUCUCUGAAUCUUAAUACAGUCAGGUGGCAGGGACCCCUGACCACGUGACUGACAGCAGAAGGCGUUAACUCUUAAGAGAGGAGACAAUGAAAAAUUCUUGCAAGACGCCUGUGCCUUGACCAUGGUCUUCCUAAACUUCAAAACUAUCCGAAACACAUAUCAGGUGUAUAUAAAUUCCUCAACCCUCGAUGCUCUGCUAUAGCAGCGAAUAAUGAAGGCAUUCUCAGAAGACCCAGAAGGGCAGCAGCAACAACAACAAACAGAGACAUUCUUCAACAACAACAAACAUAGAGACAUUCUUUGGCACUGGUUUUAAAGAAUGGAUCCAGUUUUAGGCUCUCUUCCUGGGGAUGAGUCAGUGUGGAACCCUCCAGCCUACAGGAAAUGAAAAAAGUUUCCAGAGAAUAAAAGCCUGAAAGAAAA